ensembl:lncRNA
CAUGAUCGCACCCAUGAUCGUACCGGUCCAGGAUGGCUGUAUUGCACUAUUCUGCCAGUGAUGUAUUUAGGGAGUCUGGGAGAGCAGAAAUACACCUGAAAACAAAAUAAUUGACUUGCUCUGAAUUGAAGAAUAUACACAUAUGCGGUUCAGAGGCGGUUACGAGGUUGGACCCAACUAUCACACAUUAUCAUCUGGACGUUGCCGUAGGCGAAAAAGAAUGACUUUAGAGACGCAAUCACUAACCUGAAGCAAACAUUUUUUUGUCUGGUAGGCCUACUGCAAAUCAGAGGUUCAGAUAAUGCUCUAAUGAACACGUGGAACAUCAGGGGAGCUACGCCAGGCUGCUCUUCAUAGACUUCAGCUCUGCUUUCAAUACCAUCAUACAAACAGACUUCUCACCAAACUAAUGGACUUGGGUCUUUCACAACCCAUCUGUUAUUGGAUUAAAGACUUUCUGACAGAGCGCUCCCAGAGAGUUAGAGUAGGUGCCCAUCUUUCCUCUGCACUUGCAUCAGCACCGGCUCCCCACAGGGCUGCGUGCUGAGCCCCUAUACUCUACACUCUCUACACCAAUGACUGCAUCCCCAGCCACCCCAGCAAUACCAUCAUUAAGUUUGCGGAUGAUAC